CAACAAUCACGUCACAAAUAUGUAGCAACCUAUUUUUUAGUUUUAUAUUAACUGCAAACCCCUGCAUACCAAAUUAUAAAUAAUCAUAACUGGGAAUUAGGGGAACUAGUACAAGGCAUUAUGUGCCUACGGCUAGGCAGAGUAGUGUGGUAACUGCGUGUGUCGCAUACGGCACCGGUUGUGUUUAAUUACUGUAAUUAAGCUUCAAGUAGCGUGUAGCUGUGGUCUUCUCCAG